AAUUAAAAUAAAUAUUGUGCCAGCAAUAGCGGUUAAACAAUUUUAAUUAAUUAAAAAAUUAAAAUUUAUAAUUAAAUUAUAAAUAAAUUAUAUUUAAAAUUAAUUAUUAGUGAAAUAAAAUUAUUUUAAUUUAAAUUAAUUUAAUAAUUUUAAAUAAAUUUAUUAAAUUAGAAUUAGAUACUCUAUUAUAAAUUAAUAAAUUAAAUAUUUAAUUAUUAGAUUUAUUAUUUAAAGUUAUUGAAAUUGGCAGUAAUAAUUUUUUUGGAGGAAUUUAUUAAUUAAAUGGAUAAAGCACAUUAAUAAAAAUUUAAUUUAAUUUUAUAUAUCAUUAUAAAUUAAUUUAAUUUUCAAAAAAAUAUUUUAUAUUAAUAAAAAAAUAAUUAAUUUUAAUAUUAAAUCAAGAUAUUGAAUAAUUAAAAUUUAAUGAAUUAUAAUUAAUUUAAUUUAAAUUUAAUUUAAUUUAAUUAAAUUUUAUUAAAAUUUAAAAGUAAUAUAAAUAAUUAAUUUAUUUGAAUUAAUUUUUUUAUUAUGUACAUAUUGCCCGUCACUUUUAAUUUAUAAAUUAAGUCGUAACAAAGUAAAUAUAUUGGAAAAUGUAUUUUUUUAAUUUAAAUAUAAAAUUUAAUUAAAUAAUUUAAAUUUAUAGAAAAAAAUAUUUUAUUAAUAAUAAUUUGAUAGAAAUAAAUUAAUUAUAGAUUUAUUAAAUAAAAUUAUUAAUUUUAUUUUCUUUUUGUAUUAAGAUUAAAUAAAU
rnacentral:rRNA from 1 species